rnacentral:rRNA from 1 species
AUGAGCUCGCGGAUAAAGGAGAUGGUGCGGGUGGCCACUGCACGGCUUGGCGGCGAGCCUUCGCCGCGGGCGGGGCCUUCUCAGCCCGGACGCGCGGAGUCGUCCAGGACUGCACGGCUCGGCGGCGGAGGCGCCAGCCUCCGGCGUCAGCCCCAACCGCAGGCGCCCACCGUGCGCACCAUCUACUGCAACGACCGCGAGGCCAACGCGCCCGUCGCAUACAAGGGAAAUUCUGUAUCGACUACAAAGUACAGCGUAUUGACAUUUCUACCUAAAGGAUUGUUUGAACAGUUCAGGCGGGUGGCAAAUCUUUACUUCCUCAUGAUUUCAAUCUUGUCGACUACACCAAUUAGUCCAGUCCACCCUGUCACCAACGUGGUUCCCCUUAGUCUAGUACUUUUGGUGUCACUCAUCAAGGAAGCUUUUGAGGACUGGAAACGUUUCCAGAAUGAUAUGUCAAUUAAUAAUGCACAUGUCGAUGUAUUGCAAGGUCAAAAAUGGGAAAGUAGUCCAUGGAAAAGACUGCAGGUUGGAGAUAUUGUGAGGAUCAAGCAAGACAGUUAUUUCCCUGCUGAUUUGCUCUUCCUAUCGAGUACGAAUGCUGAUGGUGUCUGCUACAUAGAGACAGCAAAUCUUGAUGGGGAAACCAACCUGAAAAUAAGGAAGGCUUUGGAGAAAACUUGGGACUAUGUUCUUCCUGAAAAGGCUUCGGAAUUCAAAGGUGAAAUACAGUGUGAACAGCCAAACAAUUCGCUUUACACAUUCACCGGGAAUCUUAUUGUGGACAAGCAAACUAUACCAAUUUCACCAAACCAAAUACUUCUAAGGGGAUGCAGCCUUCGUAAUACCGAGUACAUUGUUGCCGUUGUUAUAUUCACGGGCCACGAGACAAAAGUUAUGAUGAACUCAAUGAAUGUUCCUUCUAAAAGAAGCACAUUGGAGAAAAAGCUAGACAAGCUUAUUCUAGCUCUAUUUGCAACCCUCUUUACGAUGUGUGUCAUUGGUGCUAUUGGAAGUGGUGUGUUCAUUAAUGAGAAAUACUUCUAUCUUGGAUUGCGUGGGCGUGUUGAGGACCAGUUUAAUCCCAAGAACAGACUUGUGGUGACCAUUUUAACCAUGUUUACUCUAAUAACUCUAUACUCAACGAUCAUCCCCAUAUCUCUUUACGUGUCCAUUGAGAUGAUCAAAUUCAUUCAGUGCGCACAGUUUAUUAACAAUGAUCUGAAUAUGUAUCAUGCUGAGAGCAACACCCCAGCUUUGGCCCGUACUUCUAAUCUGAAUGAGGAGCUUGGGCAGGUUGAAUAUAUAUUUUCUGACAAAACUGGAACACUUACAAGAAACUUGAUGGAAUUCUUUAAGUGUUCAAUUGGUGGGGAAAUAUAUGGAACUGGCAUUACAGAGAUUGAGAAGGGAGGAGCUGAGCGAGCUGGAGUCAGAAUUGAUGAUGAUGAGGAUAAAAGAUCAGCCACUGCAGUUCAUGAGAAAGGAUUCAACUUCGACGACACUAGAAUAAUGCGUGGUGCAUGGAGAAAUGAACCUAAUCCUGAGGCCUGCAUGGAAUUCUUCAGAUGCCUGGCAAUCUGUCAUACAGUUCUUCCUGAGGGCGAGGAGACACCGGAAAAGAUCACUUAUCAAGCUGCCUCUCCUGAUGAGGCCGCACUUGUGGCUGCAGCAAAGAAUUUUGGUUUCUUUUUUUAUAGACGUACGCCGACCACAGUAAUGGUUCGUGAAUCACAUGUUGAUAGGAUGGGUAGUAUGCAAGAUGUCGCCUAUGAAAUUCUGAAUGUUUUGGAAUUUAACAGUACAAGGAAGCGCCAAUCUGUGGUUUGCCGCUUUCCAAAUGGAAAACUUGUUCUCUACUGCAAGGGUGCUGAUAAUGUCAUCUAUGAACGUUUAGCUGAUGGAAAUUAUGACAUUAAAAAGACAAGCAGAGAACAUCUAGAGCAAUUUGGAUCUGCUGGCUUGCGUACACUUUGCCUUGCUUAUCGAGAUCUCAGCAUGGACCAAUACAAAAGCUGGAAUGAGAAGUUCGUGCAAGCUAAAUCUUCUUUACGUGACCGCGAUAAGAAGCUUGACGAGGUGGCUGAAUUGAUUGAGAAGGACCUUGUAUUGAUAGGUUGCACUGCUAUUGAAGACAAACUGCAAGAAGGGGUGCCAGCCUGCAUCGAAACUCUUUCUGCAGCUGGCAUAAAAAUUUGGGUGCUAACUGGAGAUAAAAUGGAAACAGCAAUUAAUAUAGCAUACGCAUGCAGCCUGGUGAACAACGACACGAAACAGUUCAUCAUCAGUUCAGAGACAGACACAAUUAGAGAGGCUGAGGAAAGGGGUGACCCUGUGGAAAUUGCGCGAGUUAUCAAAGAGUCGGUAAAACAGAGUCUAAGAAGUUACCUCGAGGAAGCCCACCGUUCUCUAAGUAGCACACCGGAGCGAAAGUUGGCUUUCAUUAUUGAUGGAAGAUGCUUGAUGUAUGCUCUAGACCCAGCUCUGCGUGUGAAUCUUCUUGGUUUGAGUUUAAUUUGUCACUCAGUUGUAUGUUGUCGAGUUUCUCCACUGCAAAAGGCACAGGUUACUAGCUUAGUUAGGAAGGGUGCUCGUAAGAUAACUCUCAGCAUUGGCGAUGGUGCUAAUGAUGUAAGCAUGAUUCAAGCCGCUCAUGUUGGGAUUGGCAUUAGUGGACAAGAAGGAAUGCAAGCAGUUAUGGCUAGUGAUUUUGCCAUCGCUCAAUUUCGUUAUCUUACUGAUUUACUUCUUGUACAUGGACGGUGGUCAUACUUGAGAUUGUGCAAGGUUAUCACAUACUUCUUCUACAAGAAUCUGACAUUUACGCUAACUCAGUUCUGGUUCACUUUCCAAACUGGCUUUUCUGGUCAGCGGUUUUAUGAUGAUUGGUUCCAGUCGCUGUAUAAUGUCAUUUUCACAGCGCUACCCGUAAUUAUGGUUGGAUUAUUUGAUAAGGAUGUGAGUGCAUCUCUAUCAAAGAAAUACCCACAACUUUACCAGGAAGGAAUUAGGAAUACAUUCUUCAAGUGGAAAGUGAUAGCGGUGUGGGGUUUCUUUGCUUUCUACCAGUCAAUAGUGUUUUAUUACUUCACUGCAGCUGCAAGUCAGCAUGGUCAUGGCUCAUCUGGCAAGAUUCUUGGUCAAUGGGAUGUUAGCACAAUGGCCUUUACUUGUGUUGUGGUUACUGUGAACCUCCGCCUCCUCAUGUCAUGCAACUCUAUUACGAGAUGGCAUUAUUUUAGUGUAGCCGGCAGUAUAGCGGCCUGGUUUCUGUUUAUCUUUAUAUACUCUGCCAUAAUGACAUCAUUUGACAGACAGGAAAAUGUAUACUUUGUGAUUUAUGUUCUGAUGAGUACCUUUUUCUUCUACCUGACACUAAUUCUUGUUCCGGUCAUCGCUCUCUUUGGUGACUUCCUAUAUCUAUCGCUUCAGCGAUGGCUAUUCCCCUAUGACUACCAAGUUAUUCAAGAGAUGCACAAGGAUGACCCCCAUGAAUACAGCAUGAUACGUCUUCCAGAGAGGAGCCAUUUGAGCCCCGAAGAAGCAAGAAGCUAUGCAAUUUCCAUGCUCCCCCGAGAGAACUCCAAGCACACUGGUUUUGCUUUCGACUCCCCGGGCUAUGAGUCAUUUUUUGCAUCACAGCAAGGUGUCUGUGUGCCUCACAAGCCAUGGGAUGUCGCAAGGAGAGCCAGCAUGAAGCAGCAGCGGCAGCAGCCACAACGCACAGGAAGAUCCUAA